GUGCUGUUGGAGUGCACGUCCAAGCAGUAAGGCUGAGUGUUAGGCAAAUCCGGCACUCAUAAGGCUGAGCUGUGAUGGGGAGAGGAAAUUGUUUCCUCGAGUCGUUGAUUUCACACUGCCGAGAAAAGCCUCUAGAUAGAUAACAGGUGCCCGUACCGCAAACCGACACAGGUAGUCAAGAUGAGGAUUCUAAGGUGAGCGAGCGAACUCUCGUUAAGGAACUCGGCAAAAUGACCCCGUAACUUCGGGAGAAGGGGUGCUCUUUAGGGUUCACGCCCAGAAGAGCCGCAGUGAAUAGGCCCAAGCGACUGUUUAUCAAAAACACAGGUCUCUGCUAAACCGUAAGGUGAUGUAUAGGGGCUGACGCCUGCCCGGUGCUGGAAGGUUAAGAGGAGUGGUUAGCUUCUGCGAAGCUACGAAUCGAAGCCCCAGUAAACGGCGGCCGUAACUAUAACGGUCCUAAGGUAGCGAAAUUCCUUGUCGGGUAAGUUCCGACCCGCACGAAAGGCGUAACGAUUUGGGCACUGUCUCAACGAGAGACUCGGUGAAAUCAUAGUACCUGUGAAGAUGCAGGUUACCCGCGACAGGACGGAAAGACCCCGUGGAGCUUUACUGUAGCCUGAUAUUGAAAUUCGGCACAGCUUGUACAGGAUAGGUAGGAGCCUUUGAAACGUGAGCGCUAGCUUACGUGGAGGCGUUGGUGGGAUACUACCCUAGCUGUGUUGGCUUUCUAACCCGCACCACUUAUCGUGGUGGGAGACAGUGUCAGGCGGGCAGUUUGACUGGGGCGGUCGCCUCCUAAAAGGUAACGGAGGCGCUCAAAGGUUCCCUCAGAAUGGUUGGAAAUCAUUCAUAGAGUGUAAAGGCAUAAGGGAGCUUGACUGCGAGACCUACAAGUCGAGCAGGGUCGAAAGACGGACUUAGUGAUCCGGUGGUUCCGCAUGGAAGGGCCAUCGCUCAACGGAUAAAAGCUACCCCGGGGAUAACAGGCUUAUCUCCCCCAAGAGUUCACAUCGACGGGGAGGUUUGGCACCUCGAUGUCGGCUCAUCGCAUCCUGGGGCUGUAGUCGGUCCCAAGGGUUGGGCUGUUCGCCCAUUAAAGCGGUACGCGAGCUGGGUUCAGAACGUCGUGAGACAGUUCGGUCCCUAUCCGUCGUGGGCGUAGGAAAUUUGAGAGGAGCUGUCCUUAGUACGAGAGGACCGGGAUGGACAUACCUCUGGUGUACCAGUUGUCGUGCCAACGGCAUAGCUGGGUAGCUAUGUAUGGACGGGAUAAGUGCUGAAAGCAUCUAAGCAUGAAGCCCCCCUCAAGAUGAGAUUUCCCAACUUCGGUUAUAAGAUCCCUCGAAGAUGACGAGGUUAAUAGGUUCGAGGUGGAAGCGUGGUGACACGUGGAGCUGACGAAUACUAAUCGAUCGAAGACUUAAUCAA
rnacentral:rRNA from 1 species